rnacentral:rRNA from 1 species
GAUGAACGCUAGCGACAGGCUUAACACAUGCAAGUCGAGGGGCAGCACGGGAGUAGCAAUACAACUGGUGGCGACCGGCGCACGGGUGAGUAACGCGUAUGCAACCUACCUAUCAGAGGGGAAUAACCCGGCGAAAGUCGGACUAAUACCGCAUAAAACAGGGGCACCGCAUGGUGAUAUUUGUUAAAGAAAUUCGCUGAUAGAUGGGCAUGCGUUCCAUUAGGUAGUUGGUUAGGUAACGGCUCACCAAGCCGAGGAUGGAUAGGGGAAAUGAGAGGUUGGUCCCCCACACUGGUACUGACACACGGACCAGACUCCUACGGGAGGCAGCAGUGAGGAAUAUUGGUCAAUGGGCGGGAGCCUGAACCAGCCAAGUCGCGUGAAGGAAGAAGGAUCUAUGGUUCGUAAACUUCUUUUGCAGGGGAAUAAAGUGCAGGACGUGUCCUGUUUUGUAUGUACCCUGAGAAUAAGGAUCGGCUAACUCCGUGCCAGCCGCCGCAGUAACAC